rnacentral:rRNA from 1 species
UACGGGGGGGGCAAGCGUUGUUCGGAAUUACUGGGCGUAAAGGGUGCGUAGGUGGCGCUGUAAGUCGGGUGUGAAAUCCUGAGGCUUAACCUCGGAACUGCAUUCGAUACUGCGGUGCUUGAGGACUGGAGAGGAGACUGGAAUUCAUGGUGUAGCAGUGAAAUGCGUAGAGAUCAUGAGGAAGACCAGUGGCGAAGGCGGGUCUCUGGACAGUUCCUGACACUGAGGCACGAAGGCCAGGGGAGCAAACGGG